UGGCGGACGGGUGAGUAACGUCUGGGAAACUGCCUGAUGGAGGGGGAUAACUACUGGAAACGGUAGCUAAUACCGCAUAACGUCGCAAGACCAAAGAGGGGGACCUUCGGGCCUCUUGCCAUCGGAUGUGCCCAGAUGGGAUUAGCUAGUAGGUGGGGUAAAGGCUCACCUAGGCGACGAUCCCUAGCUGGUCUGAGAGGAUGACCAGCCACACUGGAACUGAGACACGGUCCAG
rnacentral:rRNA from 1 species